UACGUACUUCCUCCGUUCCGAAUUACUCGUCGCAGAAAUGGAUGUAUCAAGAUGUAUUUUAGUUCUAGAUACAUCUAUUUCUGCGACGAGUAAUUCGAAACGUAGGAAGUACUUG
rfam:Triticum urartu cultivar G1812 contig398796, whole genome shotgun sequence.